GACGAACGCUGGCGGCGUGCUUAACACAUGCAAGUCGAACGGAAAGGCCCUGCUCUUGUGGGGUGCUCGAGUGGCGAAAGGGUGAGUAACACGUGAGUAACCUGCCCUUGACUUUGGGAUAACUUCAGGAAACUGGGGCUAAUACCGGAUAGGAGCUCCUGCUGCAUGGUGGGGGUUGGAAAGUUUCGGCGGUUGGGGAUGGACUCGCGGCUUAUCAGCUUGUUGGUGGGGUAGGGGCUUACCAAGGCUUUGACGGGUAGCCGGCCUGAGAGGGUGACCGGCCACAUUGGGACUGAGAUACGGCCCAGACUCGUACGGGAGGCAGCGGUGGGGAAUAUUGCACAAGGGGCGGAGGCCUGGUGCAGCAACGCCGCGUGCGGGAUGACGGCCUUCGGGUUGGAAACCGCUUUCGCCUGGGACGAAGCGUGAGUGACGGUAAUGGGUAAAGAAGCACCGGCUAACUACGUG
rnacentral:rRNA from 1 species